UGAUAAAGAUUAAGAAAACUGUAUGGUCGGAACUGGAGUUCAUCUGUCUCUUUGGUUCUUGUCAGCUGUUUUGUACAAAACAUCUCGAUUGACCAUGUGAGUUCAUUGUUGCAGUUGUUCCACCACUCAGGAUUUAGCAAUUUUUUCGUACUAAACAAUUGCUUCAAAUGCAUGAUUCCCAAGUCCAAA